rnacentral:rRNA from 1 species
GAGUGAACGCCGGCGGUAGGCCUAACACAUGCAAGUCGAACGGCAGCACAGUAAGAGCUUGCUCUUACGGGUGGCGAGUGGCGGACGGGUGAGGAAUACAUCGGAAUCUACUUUUUCGUGGGGGAUAACGUAGGGAAACUUACGCUAAUACCGCAUACGACCUACGGGUGAAAGCAGGGGAUCUUCGGACCUUGCGCGAUUGAAUGAGCCGAUGUCGGAUUAGCUAGUUGGCGGGGUAAAGGCCCACCAAGGCGACGAUCCGUAGCUGGUCUGAGAGGAUGAUCAGCCACACUGGAACUGAGACACGGUCCAGACUCCUACGGGAGGCAGCAGUGGGGAAUAUUGGACAAUGGGCGCAAGCCUGAUCCAGCCAUACCGCGUGGGUGAAGAAGGCCUUCGGGUUGUAAAGCCCUUUUGUUGGGAAAGAAAAGCAGCAGGUUAAUACCCCGCUGUUCUGACGGUACCCAAAGAAUAAGCACCGGCUAACUUCGUG